rnacentral:rRNA from 1 species
GACGAACGCUGGCGGCGCGCUUAAUACAUGCAAGUCGAACGAGAAGCCAGAGCUUGCUCUGGUGGAAAGUGGCGAACGGUGAGUAACACGUGAGAAACCUGCCCAAAGAUUGGGAUAAGCCUUGGAAACGAGGUCUAAUACCAAAUACCUUCUUUUUAACACAUGUUAAAAAGAAGAAAUGCUCCGGCGCUUUGGGAUGGUCUCGCGAUCUAUCAGCUUGUUGGUGAGGUAACGGCUCACCAAGGCAUCGACGGAUAGCUGGUCUGAGAGGAUGUCCAGCCACAUUGGAACUGAGACACGGUCCAAACUCCUACGGGAGGCAGCAGUAGGGAAUCUUGCACAAUGAGGGAAACCUUGAUGCAGCGACGCCGCGUGCGGGACGAAGGCCCUAGGGUUGUAAACCGCUUUCAGUAGGGACGAAAGUGACGGUACCUACAGAAGAAGCCCCGGCCAACUAUGUGCCAGCAGCCGCGGUAAU